GUCAGCCACACAGACUCCGGAGGAAGGUGCCAGGUAUGGAGCCGCGAGGAAAUUCGUAGCGAGGAUUGUCACUGCACUUGUGCUUGGGUGACAGCGACAGCCUGUGGCACCGUGCGGUUGCCACCUGAAAGUCAAAACGAAGAUGACCGUGCCGCAGCCCAUGACAGACGCAGCCGGUGUCAGGGGAAGCAGGGGCAGCCCCGGGGAGCCGGUUCUGGUUCUGCCACUUUCUGAUGUGUGUCACGCGCUCGCCGCAUCUCAUCCAGCCUCUCCGUUCCAUUGUUAACAAAUAAUGGAGUUAUUAUUGCUAUUUUAAAAUAUUUAAAAUUUUUCUGUUUUAAUUCCUAAUAUGGUAAAACUUGACAUACAUAAUUUACAUAUAUACAUUUUUCUUGGAGAAAUCUUUCAAAACCAAACGAUUAAAUGGGGGUUGGAGCUGAGAGAAGGCUGGGUGUGCUCGCCUCGCUUUGUACCCUGAAGGUCGGGCUGGACGGCCGAUUCUCGGCUGAGGAAGUGGUUCUGACAGCAUCAGGAGCCUUGGAUUCGGGGCCUUGGUGUGUCUCCCGGAGCUGCCUUUGCGGCUGGAAGGGGACAGCCUCUCCUAAGCAACGCUCCUGCAGGAGCUCCCUCAGGCUGUUUUCCCUGCAGGACUUUUGAGCUCAAGGACAAAAGCUGAAUUUAAGUAGCAACACCUAAUUUACCCAUGUAUAGGUCUUAUUAGAAUGCCAGAUGAGCUAAGAAUCUCCUCUUGUAACUCAAUACAUUAAUGUUAAACCCCUGUAUGUUCUGAAAUCCAAGAUGGCCCGUGAGUAUUCCCAAGUAAUUCAGAAAUUGCAGUUUAAAUGCGGACUCUCAAGAGCAUUAGAAAUUCCUCUCUUGAAGGUACUAAAUGCAGAUGAACUGGCCUUACGUUUGGGUUGCCUGGGAAAGGAGGAGACAAGGAGAGGAAGACAGGGCAUGGGACCUCCAGAAGUGCUGGUUGGCCAGAAUUUCACUGCAGCUGUUGCUAGUGGCGGACUUUGGAGCUGGUCAGUGCUAUUCACACGACAGCUGCCACCCUUUAGUAUUUCCGACGCUGUCCCCUAAACUGAUGACUCUUCACUUCUGUUUCUCUUUCAUUGAUCACAGUUCUCAGAUGUCUCACAGAAGUUUUAGUCAUUUUGCCUUAUAGACCAAAAUACCCCACAAACUAAAACUUGAAGAAAUGUAUUUAAAGCUUAAAACUGCAUGAGGGCUUUGGGACCCCUUCACUUCACACCCAGGCUGCAACAGAAGGUUUACCAAACCCUCUUGCCAGGUCCCCGCGCCUGCUAUCCACACUGCUGGGGUCCCGAGGCCCCUUCAGGGGGCCCACAGAGGGAAAACUAUUUUUAUCAUAAUGCUAAGCCUUUUUUUUUUUUUAACUGUGUAGAUAUCCUAUUGCUGGUGUAUAAAGGCAAUAGUGGGUGAAACUACUCAAUCCCUAACCUGAAACAAGCUGAGUGCCAACCACACAAACAGCUGUGGUCUUCUGCACCACCACCCACCUGCAGGAAAAAGAAAAGCCGUUUUCACCUAACAGUGUCCAGAAUCAAGCAGUGAGGCUCAUUAUUAACUAUUUAGCCUCAAUCCGUGCAGGCUUGUCUUUUUAAUAUUCUGCACCAUGAAGUGGGAACUGGAUGAAGCAUUUCUCCACAUCGGAGUCACGUGAUCACUGUUGUGGGAAAAGCAGAGGCCAUCGUUCCAGUUACCUGUUGAACUCGCUGUUUUGGUUAUGUUUUUUUCUUUACGUGGAACACAGCUUUUACUUGAAAGAACAACUGAUAGACAAACUAUGGUAUUCAGACCUAGCUAAUUAACAGCCUGUUCCUCCAAGGGAAAGAACUAGUAGUAUUUGUGGCUCAUGAUAAAAUCUGAGCGUUUGAGAAACGUUAGAAUUUUGGGUCACUUUUAUUCAUCACCUUGAGCUUGACAGUUUUACAAUAUAUAGAGGCUUUUUUGGUGAGAUGGGUGGCAAUAUUAACAACUGUGGUUUUUUUAUAGUGUGUAAUUUAAGUGUGAAAAUAAACAAAGACCAACUCAGUGGGAACACACAGAGGCUGUGUAUUCGGGGCUUGCUGUGGUGGGGGCGUCGGUCACCACUGCGAGUGUUCAGCACAGGCUCAACGGCAGGGGUCCGGGGUGUGUGUCCAGCAGAGGCUCAAAGGCAGGGCUCCAGGGUGUGUGUCCAGCAGAGACUCAAAGGCAGGGGUCUGGGGAUUUAUGAUGAGAAAACGGAAGGUCCCAGGUGAGCCCUGCCGGAGGCUGCUGUCUGGGGACACUGGAGGCGAGUAGCUGGAAUCGGAACAUCCUAUGGAACUGGCCAGGGAGUGUAUUCAGCUUUCUCUGGUUGGUGCUAAGUGGGAAGCACGGAAACAGUGAAGAAAUCUGUUAGUUACUGAUCAAGCCCUGCCAUCUUGGGUCAGCUGUGGUGGGGUCCUUUUCCCACCUCCUGCAGUCCUGACUCCUGGACAGCAGGCUGGCCUCUGGGGCUGGCGUUUGCAGAUAUUAGGUUAGGGUCAGUUUUCCUGGGCAGGCUGAUGCAGGUGUGGGUCAGAGUUGUGGCUUUUCUGUGGUCUACCCAGCGUCCCUUCGUAUAUUCAGUCUCUCGGAGACGUCUGCAUUUGGAAUUUCUGCACGUCUCAGUAAACCGAUAUUUUCCAAAUGGUGAACACAUGAAGUUACAAAGUUAGGCCUGGGUAAAAGGCCCAUUCAAAGGGCAAGAUAGACAAAUGAAUAUUAGUGUAGGAGAGAAGGAAACGUUCACCAAUGUGGCUUCGGAUUCUACGUGGCCAUUAAUCAUUUUAAAAACUAUCACUUUUCAGGUUUUUGUAAAGAUUAAAAUAAGAAUAUCCAUAAUAAUCCAAAAAAGUUCUAAAAAUAUUCUUUUCUCCCCCUACAUAUAUGUAUGUACACACACACACACACGUCUGGAUUUUCCUCAUAUAUUCCCCAAAACACACCGUAACAGGUGGAAGGCAGAGGCAGCUGGGUGAGUCCAGCUGUCUUCCAUUAAAGCCAGACAGAGACUGACACACAUGUAGA
rnacentral:lncRNA from 1 species